UAUGCCCCUAGAGGCAUUGUGGGUGUGGCUGCUGCCCAUGAACAUCGGUAGGUGGCUGAGAAUAGAGAGGAUAUGUCUAUACUCCAUGUUCUGACUGUGAACCUCUGAAUGACUACCAGCCUAACACU